rnacentral:rRNA from 1 species
AUGACUAAGCUCGCGCUCCUCGUUCGAGCAACUGCACUACUCCUUUGCUUCCUCAUCUCCCAAAUAGCGUCCACUUCCAAUGGUCAAGCGAGUGUAUCAGAGGCAUGCCUUAGCAGUGAGCGAGAUGCGCUCCUGUCCUUCAAGGCAAGCAUCUUUGACCCGGCUGGUCGUCUCUCGUCAUGGCGCCACGGCGACAACUGUUGUCAAUGGAAGGGAGUUCGGUGCAGCAACCGAACUGGCCAUGUAAUCAAGCUCAACCUCCGCAACAUCGACAUGGAUGCUGACGGCUUUCCGAUCCUAAACAGAUCAUUGAGCUUGUCAGCAGGAGAGAUGAGCUCCUCUUUGGCUACUUUGCAACACCUGAGAUAUCUUGAUCUGAGCUAUAAUGACUUCAACGCCACAAGCAUACCUCUUUUCCUGGGUUCCCUCGACAACUUAAGGUAUCUCAACCUCUCGUGGGCAUUUUUCUGCGGGACAAUACCUUCUCAACUAGGCAAUCUCUCCAAAUUGCAAUAUCUCGAUGUCAGUUGUAAUUAUAAUUGUCUUCAAGCAGUGGAUCUUGCAUGGUUGCCACGCCUCUCUUUGUUGAGUCAUCUUGACAUGAGCUUUGUGGAUCUUAGUUUUGUGAGGGAUUGGGUUCACACGGUUAACAUGCUCCCUUCUCUUAAAGUGCUUUGCUUGCACGAAUGUGGCCUUAAUAGUACUGUGCCUGCUAGUAAUUUACAUUCCAACUCCAACCUCUCGCACCUUGAGGUCCUUGUUAUGUCUGAGAACAACUUCUAUGCAUCACUCAAGCACAACUGGUUCUGGAAUCUUACAAGCCUCAAGGAGCUCUACCUCUCAUUUUGUGGCUGGAAUGGGUCCGUUCCCAAUGAACUGGGAAACAUGAUGUCGCUUCAGGUCAUAGACUUGAAGUGGAACAAUCUUGAGGGUUUGCUACCAAGAAAUUUAGAAAAUCUGUGUGAUUUGAAAGUGUUGGUAUUUGAUUUUAACAACAUUAACACUAGCAUGUCUGAGUUCAUGGAUCGAUUGCCAAGGUGCUCAUGGAAUACAUUGCAAGAGUUGUCAGUACAGUAUACAAAUAUGACCGGAAAUCUACCCGUUUGGAUUGGGAACAUGUCCAAUCUCAGUGUUCUUGAAGCAUCUGGAAAUAUGAUGACUGGCCCUCUACCUGUAGGAGUAGGAGAACUUGGUAAUUUGAAAGAAUUGGACCUAGGAUACAAUAACUUCGACGGUGUGCUCCUGAAAGAUCAUUUCACAAGUUUAGGUAAUUUAGAGAGUUUGUACCUCAACAACAAUAACUUCAGCGGUGUGCUCUUCAAGGGGCAUUUUGCAAGUUUAGGCAAUUUGAAGUUUUUGGACCUCAGCUACAACAACUUCAGUGGUGUGGUCUUGAAAAGGCAUUCUACAAGUUUGGGCAACUUAAAGUAUUUGGACCUCAGCUAUAAUAAAUUAAACAGUGUGCUCACAGAGGAAGAUUUUGCAGGACUAUUGAAUUUAGAGUAUCUAGACUUGUCAUACAACUCUUUGAAAUUAGCUAUCAACCAAAAAUGGGUUCCUCCAUUUAGAUUGAAGGUCGCAGGUUUUCGUUCAUGCCAUCUUGGACCUCAUUUUCCAGAGUGGCUCAAAUGGCAGACUGGCAUUGAUGUUCUUGUUCUUGGAAAUUCAAACCUGGAUGAUGUUAUUCCUGAUUGGUUCUGGUUGACAUUUUCCCGAGCUUCGUUCUUGCAUGCAUCGGGAAACAAGUUGCAUGGCUCAUUACCGGAAAAUUUACAACACAUGGCAGCUGACCAUAUAUAUCUCGGGUCGAACAACCUUACAGGUCAAGUCCCUUUGCUCCCAAUAAAUAUAGUCCGCUUGAACCUAUCAUCAAACUCUUUCUCAGGGGCAUUGUCUUCAGACCUGAAAGCUCCAUUUCUAGAAGAGUUGUUGCUUGCAAAUAAUCAGAUUGGAGGCAUGAUACCAUCAUCUUUAUGCCGAUUGGCUACUCUGAAACGGUUGGAUCUAUCAGGAAACAAGUUCACAGGAGAUGUUAUGCAAUGCUUCAAGGAGUUUGGUGCAAACUCUGAAAAUCAGUUUGGCUCCCAAAUGCUCAGUCUAGCCUUGAAUAACAAUGAUCUCUCCGGUGAAUUCCCCAAAAUUCUUCAAAGUGCAUCACAAUUAAAAUUCCUCGAUCUUUCAUACAAUAGUUUCUCUGGAGGAUUACCAAUGUGGUUACCCAAGAAAAUGCCCCUGCUGCAAAUCUUGAGGUUGAGAUCAAAUAUGUUCAGUGGCCAUAUUCCAGGCAAUCUCACUUCCCUUGCCCGUCUUCAUUAUUUGGACAUAUCAGGCAACAAUAUAUCAGGAAGCAUACCAUGGUCACUCUCAAACUUGAAGGCAAUGAAGACCAUAAUAUCCAAGGACACUACAGAGGAUUACAACUUUGAAGAGAGCAUUCCAGUAAUCACAAAAGACCAAAAGCGUGACUAUAGCUUCCAAAUCUACAAGCUAUUGGUGAAACUUGAUUUGUCCAGUAACAGUUUAACAGGACAAAUCCCAAAGGAGAUAAGUUUACUGAUUGCCCUCACGAAUUUGAAUAUAUCAAGCAAUCAGUUGACAGGAACAAUCCCAAAUCAGAUCGGUGAUUUAAAGCAUUUGGAAUCCCUGGACCUAUCAUACAACAUAUUUUCUGGUGCAAUCCCAUCAGGUUUGUCGGCACUAACUUCUUUGAGCCACUUGAACUUGUCAUACAACAAUCUAUCAGGUACAAUACCAUCCGGACCGCAGCUACAAACUCUUGACAACCCAGAAACGAAUUACAACUCGAAUAGUCACGUGAUUAACAUGCAUGCACAGAACCUACGCCAAGUCCUUUCUUCCUGCAUCAUACGCCCAACCUGCAUCAACCCGCGUCAGUGA